UUGAAUUCUGCAUACAAUCAAUUCUAAAAAACUAACACUAUGUUUGGUUAAAUGGAAUUGCUAUUCCAUUACGACACGGUUCAAAACUUUAAAGGAAAACAGUCGUUUGGUUGGCUGAAUGCUCAAAAUGUCGAAUGGAGAUUACAGGUUCAUUCUAAAAAUCGCCGAAUAGCCAUUCCGGGGAGGAGGUGCCGAAUGGCUAUUCCAACCUCUCCAUCGAAUGACCCUUUUUUUCUCCUCCAAAAAUACCCUUUCUUAGAUUAAAUUUUCUCUAACGAUUUCAACUUUUGUUUUCUUUUGGUCAUUCGACAAUCUCAAGUUCAAAUCAAUCUAAAAGGAAGCGGAUCAACUUGAAGGCCAAAUCAACUGGAUUUUGUUGUAAGUUCAAUUCAACUAGGGUUUGUUUUGCAUUUUGAUUGAUUUUUUUUUUGUUUCUGAUGAUUUGUCCAAGGGGAAUUGAAAUGGAUUCUGCAACUGUUCACGAGGAGAUCGAUUCAUUAUUCGAGUCAACUCCUCCUCUCAAAGAUUCGGCUAAAAUCAUAGACAAAUUGAAUCAAGUCAUCCAAUUUGAUUCUCCUUCAGGAGAAGGAAAAGGGAGGAGGGUAGAUGAGCUGCUAAAACGAUGCCCAAAUCUUAAGAAAAUUAUUAUUUUUAGGGUUAUUUCAAAAGCCAAGCCACACAAGGAAUGCCAGGUGUAUUCAUCUGGCAGCAGUCAAUCUGUUCAUUUUGCUAAUUCGUGGAAAAGAAUUGGUAUGCUCUUUUGCUGAAAGUUUGGGAUCUAGUAAGAAUAUUUAUUUGCUCAUUACAAUGUAGAUGUGACAGUUCUUAGUUAUCUAUGACAUGGUGAGGUUCAAGUUUCGGCCUACCUUUCUGAGAGAAAACUAGUGGGCCGGUUCUUCUUUAGGAAUGAUGUAUUUCACCAUUGAUUCAACAUUCUAUGUUUCAUUCACAUUUAUGUUAUAUCUUACAUUACGGAUUAGGGGAAAGAUGCCAAGGGAAGUGUAUGCAGUAGCCAUCGUUGGUCCUUUUCCAAUUGCUGUAACUAAUUUAUUGGAUUUAACAAAUGGGUAGCUUAGGAUACUGAGUUUCCAUUGAUUGCAACUGCAAAAGCUUUACAAAUUUUCAAGAAGAGGAGCCAAUGGUUGCAUGUUAUUCAAGUAUAUUCAGUCUAUUGGUAUUCUUGCUUUGUAUUUUCCAACUUCUAAAAUACAUUCAGUCAUUGAUGCAGGGAAGCUUUAUAUGUUUAAUAAGUUUUUAUUAAUAUAUAUUAGAUUAAAAUAGUCUUGUAUUAUCAUAUUUGAUUCUAUAGAAUACUCUUGGUCAAUAUUUUAAAGGAACCUUAAUGCUAUUCUUUGUGAAUAGAUACUUUCAAUCAA